rnacentral:snoRNA from 1 species
AAGAACAGGCAGAUCCUUUUGUAUAUGUGAGCAGUGUUAUUUCUUAUGUGCUAUACAAAUAGUUGAAGGUUAAUUAGCAGAAUAACUAUUAAGUAGUCAUGCUGCCAGUCUCCUUCAGACAAAA